rnacentral:rRNA from 1 species
UUAAACGGCCGCGGUAUCCUAACCGUGCAAAGGUAGCAUAAUCACUUGUCCCCUAAAUAGGGACUAGAAUGAACGGUUAAAUGAGGGCUUCACUGUCUCUUACAUUCGACCAAUAAACCUGAUCUUUCAGUCCAAAAGCUGAAAUAAACCCAUAAGACGAGAAGACCCUGUGGAGCUUCCAAACCAAGCCCACCACCCUAUGUCCCCUUGGUUUUUAGUUGGGGCGACUUUGGAGCACAAACAACCCUCCAACUACGGACCUUCCCCUCUAGAUGUACAUAUCAACAAAAAUUUUCCCCGACCCAGUAGCUAAAUUGUCUAUCUGACCAAUGAACCAAGUUACCCCAGGGAUAACAGCGCCAUCCUCUUCUAGAGUCCCUAUCGACAAGAGGGUUUACGACCUCGAUGUUGGAUCAGGACACCCCUAUAGUGCAGCCGCUAUAAAAGGUUCGUUUGUUCAACGAUUAAAGUCCUACGUGAUCU